rnacentral:misc_RNA from 1 species
UCCGCCCCUGCAUGUGACAGAGAUACAGAAGUAUGGUGUCUAGACAUCAGCAGGUGAAUAGUGUCUGAACACUGGCAGUACCCACACCGAGCUCAAAGCGACUGCAGGAGACACGACACCGCGCGCGAGGAAAGCGGGUAUCCGACGCCGAACACGAGCCAUGCGACGGCACACCGGUUGGUGACACCGACGCCGGGCCAUUGAUCCAUCACCGCAGUCUCCUCUCCGUCAUUGUCCGCGUCACUUUCUUUCUGCCGUUUUCUUUUCUUUGCCCCUUUCAGGUAUAGGAUUGCUGCCGUGCUGUCUCCGGCUGGCUCUGACACCGCACACAGGGAGAACUGUAGAAAGUGUCGCGCACCUGCAGAGGACGCGACGACCUUGAGACGACCGGCGCACGCAAAGCGCUCAACUUCCGAAAACCCAUCAGGAGGCCGCGGAACGUCUUCGAUCACAGCAUGACGGCCGACCGACAACCCGCAGAGGAGCGCCCAUGGCAGGCGGACAACGCCCCUCCAAUCACCACCAGGAGACCAGUGGGAGAUCCAGCUGACAAGUCCAAUUCCCGAGUACAGUUACAGCUGGUGAACGGGGGCUAUCAGCCAAAGCCUGGAAUGACUACCUGGAAUGAGGUGGCCGUUCGCCUCCGGGCAUAAACAGCCUGGUAAACAAAAUAAAGUGU